UCACGAAAAUGAUUCGGGGGCGCUGCCAUUUUCCCGACCGGUCUCCGACCGGUCUCCCGUCCCCAUCGCGCCUGUUGGCUGCGGGGGAUGCGGAACGGGGCCCGGCUAUUUUCGCCCCAUAUUUCCCAGAAUUCCUUUCCCCAUUGAGCCGGCCGCCAUCUUGCGUACGGGCCGGUGUCACGUGAAAAUUCGACUCCUAUGAAAAUCGGACCCCUAUUUCCCUAUUAUUGGUUGAUCCCUCGCACGUACGUGACAGGUCACUCUCCCAAAAUGAUCCUAAAAAUAGCACAGUAUCGUACUCACGCGUGCGCAGGACUACCAAUGAGUCCACAUUUCAUGGAGUCGGAUAUUCACGCUACACCUGUCGUGCCACGUAUACGUAUACGUUCGUAUAGAGGAGCAUGCGCUGCAGCGCAUGCAACGGUAUUCCAUGCAACAUGCAAAGCUGAAGGCAUGCUUGCCCCACAUUUUCUCAGCACUACUAGCUUCGUUUGAUGGUCGUUUGAUGCAUUGAUUAUGCUACAAUUUUCUCUUUCAAUGGACUCCCGAUGACACCCACAUCACAUGACCAGCUCCAACCAUGCUCCAAGCAUGCUCCAG
rnacentral:lncRNA from 1 species